AAGACUAUACUUUCAGGGAUCAUUUCUAUAGUUCAUGACUUGCGAAAUGUGUUUCUAAAGUGUUGGUCUCGCUAACCACGAUGAAGAGUGGAUGAUACUCUUCUCUGAGCGCGAAGCAGGUAGAGAGACUUGGAGUUAUCCUUAUGCUCUCUGCUCUUGAUGACCGUUCACUGUUCUUUCGGGGACAGCGAGGAGGAGAGUAUGAUCAGAGUGGUU
ensembl:snoRNA ACEA small nucleolar RNA U3